CUAACAUGUGUGGUUAGUUAACAUCAAUUUUGGUUAUCAUAAAAUGGCUGGAGGAAUGUAGCUUCGAUCUCGUAUUGAAGUGUUAUAGCCUUCGGUAGAUGUGGUGAUCGGGAUUGAGGAUUGCAACGGAUACCCUUCGGGGCUACCUGUCUGAUCUCUGAUCGUUGCUCUGGUACCGAAAGCUUGCUUACGGUUAUCAAAGUCGAUGGUCAACAGGUUAGAACGGGUUAAAUUCGUUAAGGAUGUUGACGUAAUGG
rnacentral:rRNA from 1 species